CCUUAGUCUCCUGUAAUAAGGUAGCUGUGGUGGCUGGGCCACCACAACAGGCAUUUUUAUUUCUGUUCCAUCUCUUUAGGACCCUCCCCUGAGAGCACACUAUUAAAGGCUCAAGAAGGGAGAAGCCUAGAGACCUGUCCUCUGAACAAAGCCAAGCACAGUCAGGCUCAGCAGAGAGGUGAAUGGAAGCUGUUAGGAGAAAUAGAGGACACUAGAGCAAGGAGCUGCUGGGAGGCUGCUUCCACUCCUCUUCAAAAUGAGUCCUGCUGAAGUCAGGAUCUGUUUCCGACACCCUACCCUUCAACUGCGAUGAAGAGCUGGAUGUGGGACAUCAAAGGGCAGAAGAGGAUCACUGGGUGUCUUGGAGCCACUUGCCAGAAACUGAUUUUUCUGGACCAGGCUAUUUUUUGUAUCACCAUCAUUAUUGUUUGGCAUGUACAAGUCUUACUGGGUAAAGGGAAGGAAUGAAUUCUGUGAGAAAUUUUAGGACUUUACUACUUGAGAGACAUUCCACUUAAAAAUUAAUGACUUAUUUCCUGAAAAGCCUCCAAAAGUCAACAAGGCAUUUUAAUUAUCUUCAGUUUCCAGGUCUAGGAAAUGUUAGUUCCUCUUGCAUGAAAGAAUGUUCAUGCACACCUCACUCUGUAUAAUGUGUGGCUCCACGUGGUAAUUUUUUUUAUUACACUACUAUAAUUACUGUUUAUACAUUAAUCAUACAUGAGAGAAAUAAAGCUGACCCUUCAUAAAUCACUUCUUUCAGUAAGCCCGACUAUUUUUCUAUACAUUGUG